UACGUAGGAGGCGAGCGUUGUCCGGAUUUACUAGGCGUAAAGCGCGCGCAGGCGGCAUGGCAAGUAAGGUGUGAAAAUCUCCCCUGCCUAACGGGGGAGGGUGCAUUUUAGACUGCCAAGCUAGAGGACGGUAGAGGGGGGGUAGAAUUGCGAGUGUAGAGGUGAAAAUUCGUAGAUAUUCGCAGGAACACCAGUGGCGAAGGCGGCUUACUGGUCCAUAACUGACGCUGAGGUGCGAAAGCGUGGGGAGCAAACAGGG
rnacentral:rRNA from 1 species